UACAGAGGGUGCAAGCGUUAAUCGGAAUUACUGGGCGUAAAGCGCGCGUAGGUGGUUUGUUAAGUUGGAUGUGAAAUCCCCGGGCUCAACCUGGGAACUGCAUUCAAAACUGACAAGCUAGAGUAUGGUAGAGGGUGGUGGAAUUUCCUGUGUAGCGGUGAAAUGCGUAGAUAUAGGAAGGAACACCAGUGGCGAAGGCGACCACCUGGACUGAUACUGACACUGAGGUGCGAAAGCGUGGGGAGC
rnacentral:rRNA from 1 species